UGGGGAAUAUUGGACAAUGGGCGCAAGCCUGAUCCAGCCAUGCCGCGUGAGUGACGAAGGCCUUAGGGUUGUAAAGCUCUUUUGGCGGGGAAGAUAAUGACGGUACCCGCAGAAUAAGCUCCGGCUAACUUCGUGCCAGCAGCCGCGGUAAUACGAAGGGAGCUAGCGUUGUUCGGACUCACUGGGCGUAAAGCGCACGUAGGUGGGCAGUUAAGUCAGGGGUGAAAGCCCGAGGCUCAACCUCGGAAUUGCCUCUGAUACUGGCUGUCUAGAGUUCGAGAGAGGUGAGUGGAAUUCCUAGUGUAGAGGUGAAAUUCGUAGAUAUUAGGAAGAACACCGGUGGCGAAGGCGGCUCACUGGCUCGAUACUGACACUGAGGUGCGAAAGCGUGGGGAGCAAACAGGAUUAGAUACCCACGUAGUCCCUGAGCGGGCUGGCAAGGCGCAU
rnacentral:rRNA from 1 species